rnacentral:lncRNA from 1 species
ACACACACCUGCAAGCAGCUUAACAAGACUGGAGCAGCGUUGGGGGAUGGGAAAGCAGUUUAGCAACAUGAGCCAUUCCAAGACUGGACUUUUCUUUAUUCAAGUGUUAGGUCACUUCCUCAGGGAAGCCAUCCCUGACUAGCUAGCUUUUAUGCUUCCCCCCAAUUACUGUCCAUCCCAUGACCCUGUACGUUUCAGAAUCGGAAACACCUACCAACCCUUACUGACAAUGCCGCCACCGCCACCACCACCACUAUUAUUAGAAGGUGCCAUGAAACAGGGUUCUUU